UCGAGCAAGAUGGAGAAGCAGGGCACGUGCAUUACUAACUCAUGCCUUGUGGCACUGCCAAUGCCUGUUAAGCGUUUAAUUACUUUCUACCUAUGGCUUCACUUAGGCUGCAGUGAGUUAGUUCUUCAUGUGCCCCUCUUCCCCAUCAUGACCAC
rnacentral:pre_miRNA from 3 species